AUUUUCCUUUUAUUUGUAGUGUAUCUUUUCUUUGUAUCCCCUUUUAGUAUUUUAAAAAUUACCUAUCAGAUAAUUUUGAAUCACUGAAACCUUUACAAUAGAUUUCUGAUGGUUUGAAAUUGAUGUGUAGCACAUGCCUGAUUAAAGCUAUAUAGAACCUCAGUGGCUAAAGAUUAAGGAUGCCUUAACUAAGGGUCGCUUCUUGCUGGUACCAAGCAAGGCCAGUGCAGGAGCAACUAAUCCUCUCCCAUAGAGCCAAGAUUGUUCAAGUGCCUACAGUCUACCAGGCUGCCAUUCUGGACCCUUCAUUGUCCUGGUCCUCCAAUUGAUCAGGAGAGUAGACUUGGGCUGCAUAAUGCAUUUGCUAAAAAAUGGUGAUUAGUGGAAGCUUUAGUUUUUCGCUUCAGG